GAAACAUGGAGACAGAGUGUCCUUCCACCCUGGUUCCUGAGGGAAAAUGACCCAGAGCACAGUCCCAGGGAAGCACUGAUGGGCGUGAAGCGUAACCACGCAUUGUGAGCGAGAAAUACAUGCGUAUCCUUUAAAGCUACUGACACUGGGGAUUGUUCAUUAUGAAACCAUAGAUGAGUGUAUCCUGUCACUAUGUGGCCACAUCAUUGCACGAUGUGACCCUGUACCACAGAUAACCUGGAAUGCCGGGGAGGAGGGCAGGGUUCGUAUGCAGCAAGGGGUGAUGGAAAGUCCUGUAGUCCUUUAGCUGCUUACAUGGUGGGAUGGAGGAUUCCAAACUGUGUCAUGGCUCACUGCCAUCGUGCUUACAGACUUAAGCAUACCAUGGAGACUCUUCAUUAAAGCCACUUCUUAAAGCAAAUGCCAUGUCCUAGAGUGUCAUCUGCAGGGAAGCAGUUUGCACUUGACAGAAAUCAAGGUCUUCUAAGCCCCAAGUUCUUUAGAACUCCAUUCAGCCAGGCGUGGUGGCUCACUUUGGGAGGCCAAAGAGGGCGGAUGAUCUGAGGUCAGAAGUUCGAGACCAGUGUG
rnacentral:lncRNA from 1 species